UACAGAGGGUGCAAGCGUUGCUCGGAAUUAUUGGGCGUAAAGGGCAGGUAGGUGGUCUCAUUUGUCUGGGGUGAAAGCCUUGAGCUUAACUCAAGAAGUGCCCCGGAAACGGUGAGACUAGAGUGCUAGAGAGGGUCGCGGAAUUCCCGGUGUAGCGGUGAAAUGCGUAGAGAUCGGGAGGAACAUCAGAGGCGAAGGCGGCGGCCUGGAGAGCAACUGACACUCAACUGCGAAAGCGUGGGUAGCAAACAGG
rnacentral:rRNA from 1 species